rnacentral:lncRNA from 1 species
AUGGAAUCUCAGUGGUCAGUCAAAGAAAUUACAAUUACUAACAUUGUGGAAAAUGUAUUGGAAUUUAGAUACAAUUAUGCGUUAUUAAUCGUUAUUUCUGGCGUAUUUUCACAGUCAAGAGAGAAUGGAGAGUACAUCUGAAAAAGGUGGGGGGAAGAGCAUGCCUGAAUCUAAUGACGAAACUGAAGAACGGAAAGAUGAAGCACACGAAGAGGAAAUUGUUAAUGGUGUUACUGAAAGAUCAGAAAAUGAGAUGUCUGAUCAAGGAGAAAGUGAGAAGGAAAGUGCAUCUGAAGACAAGUCCGAUGAGGACAAAGGAAAUUUAAAGCGAGGUAAAACAAAGUCUCCAAUGAAGAAUGGAUUUGCUGAAAAAGCCAAAAACUAAGAAAGUUACAAUCUCUAAGAAGGCUACUAUGCCUAAAAAGCACCUGCAAAAUCACCAUCAAGUCGCUCGAAAUCCAAUAAUGAUACAAGUGCAAAGAAUUCUUUGGGUAAGAAGAAUAAUGAAGCAGUUAAGAAGAAGUCAUCAACUCUAAAGAAAUCUGCAUCAAAGGAGACAACCGGUGAGAAUUGUAGUUUAUUUUCCUUUGAUUGGACCAUAUGGUUGCAAGAGAAUUACUUGAUUUGUUCCUUCGUCUGCAAUACCAUUGUUCUAUGCAAGUUCUAGUUUGGAUAGUUUAUUGUAGUUUUGAGCUUUAUAGAGGAUGCAUUAGAAAUUCUUCAAUCCCUUAUCCUUUUUAGUUACAUGUUAUUGUAUCACAUUCUA